UGCUCUGUGCUUCUGGCUGUUGGAAGAACCUUCCGAUGCCAUCAUGAACAUAAUUUUUUUGUUUUAAAUUUAGGGCACUAAAAAGAAAACGCACCAGUCACCAACUUUUGUCUUUCUCUCAGGCGCAAUCCCUUUGGGCCUGCUGUUGGGUCUUCACGAGGAUCCCGCUUCCUUCCCCUUCUCUCCGCCUCUCCCCUCCACCUCGCACGCCGCCAAGCGAUCUGCUCCGCAUAGCAGAUGGAAGCAUCAAAUUCAAAAUCUUCUCGUAUCUCUUUCCUCCAAUUAUGCCCAAAGUGAUUGGGAGAAAUUUCUUGUCAUGUUAGAUCCACAAGACAAGUUUAUCAGUCCAAGAAGUAUAUGUAUGAUCAAUGCAGAUGCAGGUUUGAAGACUUCAGUAAUGUCACUCCAAUCCUACCGAUACCAGGCAGAGGCCAUAGUUAAGGACUACUUAUUGUCAGAUCCAGCCGUCCCAUAUACUUCUGUGCUUGGUGGCAUUUUCAUGUGCAAGUUGGCAUAUGAUCUUACCCAGUUAAUCAGUUCCUUUUACUUCAAGGGAUACAGUUCCCUUACAAAGAUUCAACGGAUCGAAUGGAACAAUAGGGGUAUGUCUAGUGUUCAUGCCGUUUUUAUCACAAUUCUGUCAUUACACCUAGUGUUUUUCUCAGAUUUAUUCUCUGAUUAUCACCUUGAGGGUUUUGUCACAUUUCGAAGUUCACAUCUUUCUACUUUUGGAUUGGGGCAGGUUUCCGUUGGAUAUUUUAUCACAGAUCUUGCAAUGAUAUUUUGUUUAUAUCCUUCCCUUGGUGGAAUGGAGUAUGUUCUUCAUCAUCUACUUUCAGUAAGUGCUGUAGCAUAUGCCAUGAUAUAUGGGGAAGGGCAAUUAUAUACAUACAUGGUCCUCAUUUCUGAGACAACCACACCAGCAAUUAAUUUACGAUGGUUUCUUGACACUGCAGGAUUGAAGAGAUCCAAUGCAUAUCUAGUUAAUGGGAUUGUGAUGUUCCUUGCAUGGCUGAUCUCGUACACGUUCAACAUGCUCUUUAAUAUUACAGUGGCGAGGUGGCAUCUUGAAACCAUGCUCUGAUACUGAUGCCAAGGAGGUGUUGAAUUUGGGCUGAAAACUCAAAGGAGUAAGGGUAUGUAUGUCAAUGUAAUCAAUUGUGACGAGGUAGAAAUCUCACGAAGGCACAACGCGGGGAUGGAUGGUAGUUGAAAGAAGAGAAGGCUGCAAGAAUCUUUUUGUUCAUUUACUCAUUUUACCACAUUUAUCUGCACCAUGAUCAGAUAAAACAGGUGCAUACAUUUGGUUAUCUCCUAGUGUUUGUGGUGCCAUCAGCUCUAGCAGUUAUGAACACAAUGUGGUUUGGAAAAAUUUUGAGAGGACUCAGGAAGACAUUGGCUAAGAGGCAGUGAUAUGUGAAGGUCUUCAUAUACUGUUCUCAUAUCUUGUAUUGUGGUACAUGUUCUGUAUUUUUUUUUGUAUAAAAUCAUGUACUUGUUAUCUUCAAAUGAAAAGAGAAAAAAAGAGAAGGCCUAAGAAAAGGCUAACUAGCUCAGAAGUCUAGGGUUAGAAUGGCUUCAUUUUUUUUUCUUUCAAUUCUAUUCUUGUAUAUUUAUACAAUGCAUAUAAAUAUGCAAUAUUUUGUUCCCUCUUAAGUGCAGGAAUAGACAGAUGUUUAUCUUU